UAUGGCCAUAUUAUGUUGAAACACCAGUUCUUGUACAAUCACUGAAGUUAAGCAACAUUGAGCCUGGUCAUUAUCUAGAUGGGUGACUGCUUGGGAAUAUUAAGUGCUGUAA